rnacentral:rRNA from 1 species
UGUGGUAUCUUGGACAAUGUGCGUAAGCCUGAUCCAGCCAUGCCGCGUGUGUGAAGAAGGUCUUCGGAUUGUAAAGCACUUUAAGUUUGGCUGAAGGGCAGUAAGCGAAUACCUUGCUGUUUUUACGUUACCGACAGAAUAAGCACCGGCUAACUCUGUGCCAGCAGCUGCGGUAAUACAGAGGGUGCACGCGUUAAUCUGAAUUACUGGGCGUAAAGCGCGCGUAGGUGGUUCGUUAAGUUGAAUGUGAAAGCCCCGGGCUCAACCUGGGAACAGCAUCCAAAACUGGCGAGCUAGAGUAGGGCAGAGGGUGGUGGAAUUUCCUGUGUAGCGGUGAAAUGCGUAGAUAUAGGAAGGAACACCAGUGGCGAAGGCGACCACCUGGGCUCAUACUGACACUGAGGUGCGAAAGCGUGGGGAGCAAACAGG